rnacentral:snRNA from 1 species
AUACUUACCCGGCAGGGGAGAAACCGUGAUCUUGAAGGUGGUUUUCCCAGGGCGAGGCUUCGCCGUCGCACUCUGGAUGUGCCGGGCCCGGCGAUUUCCCCAAUAGGGAGACUCGACUGCACGAUUUGUGGUGGGGGAGACCAUCCUG